rnacentral:lncRNA from 10 species
CCUUCUCUCACAGGAAUGCCAAUGAGUCAUAGGUUUGGUCUCUUUAGAGAAUCUAUUUCUCAAAGGCUUUGUUCAUUUUUUUAAGUCAUUUUUCUUUAUUUUUGUCUAACUGGGUUGAUUCAAACGGCUAGUCUUCAAGCUCUGAAAUUCUCAGCUUGGUCUAAUCUGUUGUUCAGGCUUCCACUGUAUUUUGAAAUUCCUGUAGUGAAUUUUUCAAUUCCAGAAGUUCAGUUUGAUUAUUUCUUAAACUGGCUAUGUCAUCUUCCAACUCUUGUAUCAACAACUGGCUUUCUUGGAUUGAAUUUCAACUUUCUCUCGAAUCUUGAGCCUCCUUGCCAUCCAGAUUCCUAAUUCUAUGUCUGUCAUUUCAGACAUUUCAAUUUGGUGAGGAUCUAUUGCUGCGGAGCUAGUACAAUACUUUAUAGUCUAGGUGUCUCCACUGAACUCCAGACUUGUAUCAACUGCAUACUCAAUGUCACCACUCAGAUGAUAAAUUUGCAUCUCAAACUUAAUGUCUGAAAAGGAACUCUUGAUUCGGCUGCAUACUCCCACCAAGUUAGCUCCUUGCACAACCGUCUCCAACUUGGAAAAUGGAAGCUCCUGUUUUGCAGUUGCUCGAGCCAAAAAUCUUGAGAUUUUCAACACUGAAGUGAUAACAUGUGAACUGUGGAAAGGAAGGGGGUGAAGGGUGGAGCCAGCAGGAGGACUGUGAUCUUCAGGCUCCAGAAGGAGAAGCACAGACAAGCAGACGAAUGGCAGAACGGCAUGAGAAGAUAAGGAGAGUCUGAACAUCAGAAAUUUGGCUCGGGACAGUGGGAGAGUCGGCCGCUAGACAGCCAAACUCCAGGGGAAUAUCAUCUUCCCACUCCAUCCCCUGUCCAGCUCCUCAUCCAUCCUGCUGAGAGCCACCUCCACCACCCAAUAAAACCCCACAUUCAACAUUUUUCAAGUCUGUGUGUGACCCAGUUCUUCCGGGACACUGGACAAGAACUCUGGAUACAGAAGGCUGUCACACUGGCCCUCUACCCUUGCAAAAAGGCAGAGGAUCUACUGAGCUGGUUAACACUUAAGCCAUCCAUGGAUGGCAAACCUAAAGGAACGCACUGUAACACACGCCCACUUGGGCUCCUGCACCUGUCCAUCUGCAUGCCCCCCUUCCUGUAAUGGGUUUGAGCAGCAGCAGCAACCGGACAGAAAAGCCACACCCCUGUCACGUCCUGUGAUGGGGGUCAGGGAAUGCUCCCAUUUCACAGUGGCUGAACUGGGGCCCAAAGCUACUGGUUUAAGACAGUGGCCUCCAAACUUUUUUGACUGCACACUUCAUCAGUAACAAAUGUUGAGCCUAUGGUCCAGUAACUACUUCCUUUCUUAUCAAUUGUGAACAAGUGCUACUAAAUUUUAAAAUGAAUAAGAUGAAAUAAAUAACAUGUUUUAACAGUACCCCCAA